GUCGCCGAAAGUCCAAGGGUUCCUGCUUAAAGCUAAUCUGAGCAGGGUAAGCCGGCCCCUAAGGCGAGGCCGAAAGGCGUAGUCGAUGGGAACCAGGUUAAUAUUCCUGGGCCAGGAGAUGGUGACGGAUCGCAGAGGUAGUUCUUCCUUAUCGGAUUGGAAGGGCUGCUGAGCGGUUCCUGGAAAUAGCCCUCCACAAGACCGUACCCUAAACCGACACAGGUGGACUGGUAGAGAAUACCAAGGCGCUUGAGAGAACCACAUUUAAGGAACUCGGCAAAAUACCUCCGUAAGUUCGCGAGAAGGAGGCCCCGUUUGUACGCAAGUAUGGGCGGGGGGCACAAACCAGGGGGUGGCGACUGUUUACUAAAAACACAGGGCUCUGCGAAGCCGUAAGGCGACGUAUAGGGUCUGACGCCUGCCCGGUGCCGGAAGGUUAAAAGGAGAUGUGCAAGCAUUGAAUUGAAGCCCCGGUAAACGGCGGCCGUAACCAUAACGGUCCUAAGGUAGCGAAAUUCCUUGUCGGGUAAGUUCCGACCUGCACGAAUGGCGUAACGACUUCCCCGCUGUCUCAAAUGUGGACUCAGCGAAAUUGAAUUGUCUGUGAAGAUGCAGACUUCCCGCGGUUAGACGGAAAGACCCCAUGCACCUUUACUAUAGCUUCGCACUGGCAUCAGGAUUGUGAUGUGCAGGAUAGGUGGUAGGCAUUGAAACCGGGACGCCAGUUCCGGUGGAGCCAUCCUUGAGAUACCACCCUUCGCACUCUUGAUGUCUAACCGCGGCCCGUUAUCCGGGUCCGGGACCCUGCGUGGUGGGUAGUUUGACUGGGGCGGUCGCCUCCCAAAAAGUAACGGAGGCGCGCGAAGGUUGGCUCAGAGCGGUCGGAAAUCGCUCGUUGAGUGCAAUGGCAGAAGCCAGCCUGACUGCAAGACUGACAAGUCGAGCAGAGACGAAAGUCGGCCAUAGUGAUCCGGUGGUCCCGAGUGGAAGGGCCAUCGCUCAACGGAUAAAAGGUACGCUGGGGAUAACAGGCUGAUGAUGCCCAAGAGUCCAUAUCGACGGCAUCGUUUGGCACCUCGAUGUCGGCUCAUCUCAUCCUGGGGCUGGAGCAGGUCCCAAGGGUACGGCUGUUCGCCGUUUAAAGAGGUACGUGAGCUGGGUUUAGAACGUCGUGAGACAGUUCGGUCCCUAUCUGCCGUGGGUGUAGGAUACUUGAGAGGAGUUGCCCCUAGUACGAGAGGACCGGGGUGAACGUUCCACUGGUGGACCAGUUGUCGUGCCAACGGCAGUGCUGGGUAGCUAUGAACGGACAGGAUAAACGCUGAAGGCAUCUAAGCGUGAAGCCCCCCUCAAAACAAGGUAUCCCUUGAGAGCCGUGGAAGACCACCACGUCGAUAGGCCGGAGAUGUAAGUGCAGCAAUGCAUUCAGUUGACCGGUACUAAUGGCUUG
rnacentral:rRNA from 1 species